CAGCCCAGACGAGGAUCGAACCUGUGAUCACUCGCGCGGCAGACAAGCAUCAGCACCACUACACCACCUACCU